GAUGAACGCUGGCGGCGUGCCUAAUACAUGCCAGUCGAGCGAACGGACGAGAAGCUUGCUUCUCUGAUGUUAGCGGCGGACGGGCGAGUAACACGUGGAUAACCUACCUAUAAGACUGGGAUAACUUCGGGAAACCGGAGCUAAUACCGGAUAAUAUUUUGAACCGCAUGGUUCAAAAGUGAAAGACGGUCUUGCUGUCACUUAUAGAUGGAUCCGCGCUGCAUUAGCUAGUUGGUAAGGUAACGGCUUACCAAGGCAACGAUGCAUAGCCGACCUGAGAGGGUGAUCGGCCACACUGGAACUGAGACACGGUCCAGACUCCUACGGGAGGCAGCAGUAGGGAAUCUUCCGCAAUGGGCGAAAGCCUGACGGAGCAACGCCGCGUGAGUGAUGAAGGUCUUCGGAUCGUAAAACUCUGUUAUUAGGGAAGAACAUAUGUGUAAGUAACUGUGCACAUCUUGACGGUACCUAAUCAGAAAGCCACGGCUAACUACGUG
rnacentral:rRNA from 1 species